AUGCUCAUAGUAACGAAUAAGGCAAUAAUGCUGGCUGUGCUUGUGCUGUUAAAGGAGGGGUCCUCCGUGGCUAUGUUGAGGCAUAGAGUAAUAAAUAAAGACAGUAGUUGCCAAUUUCAUUUCAGUGGUAACAUGAACAUACUGAGCAGUAGCCAUUGCAUUCAGACCUGGCUUCUUGGCCACUUGAAUAGAGGAAACAGAUGUAUAUACACAGGUAGACUGACCGACCAAUCGAUCACGCAAGGCGGUCUUGGCGGUGCGGACCACCAUGUGGCGUCGAGAUCGAUGAUCGAUCAUCGCCUCUUAGCGGUCACGGCCGACGAGGGAGAGGAGGAAGGUCCGGUAGUUCCCGGAGGUCUCGGAGUGGAUGGCGUCGGCCAGCGAGCGCUUGUACUUCUUGUGGUACUCGGCCUUGAUGUACUGCAUGUCCACCUCCGCCCUGGUGACCACCACCCGUAUCAGCGUCGUGUCGCUGGUGCCCAGCCCCUUCAUCGCCUUGUGCAGCGCCUUGGCGAAGUACCUCGCCGGGCUCUCGGCGCACCGGAGGAUCGUCAGCAGCCCGAACUCGAAGGUCCCCGACGUCUCGCUCUUCACGGCCUUCUCCAGGGAGCGCGCGUACAGGUGGUGGUAGGCGCCGGCGACGGCGGCGAGGUGCGCCCAGCUGCGCUCGGUGAAGACGCGGAUGAAGGCGCGCUCGUCGGUGCCGAGCCGCUUCUCGCCGGCGCGGUACAGCUCCCUCGCGUCGCGCGCCGCCGCCGCCGGGUCCACCUCCGGGCCCUCGUACCGCGGGAUCCCCAAGUACGCCAGCAGAAGCUGCAUCCAGCGACGAGCAACACACAAAAUGAUGAAAGGUUCAAACACUGCACAGAUGAGCGUAUGUAUCGAUGGUGCUGUGGAGGCAAACAAAGACGUACCUUGUGGUGGUCGCCGUAG
rnacentral:rRNA from 1 species